rnacentral:rRNA from 1 species
CCCUUAGAUGUUCUGGGCGGCCCGCGCACUACAAUGGCGUGUGCAGCGAGUGCCGAAGUAGAGUUUUCCGAGGUAUUCUUGCAAUGCUCGUUUUGAUGGGGAUAGACCCUUGCAACUGUUGGUUUUGAACGAGGAAUUCCUUGUAAGCAUGGUUUAUCAUCCGACGCUGAAUGCGUCCCUGCCCUUUGUACACACCGCCCGUCGCUACUACUGAUUGGGUGUUCAAGUGAGAUGCUUAGACCCUUGUUGCAUGGUUCAUUAUUGUGCUCCGAAAGGAAAAAGUUUCAAGCUUGAGUGUCUAGAGGAAGUAAAAGUCGUAACA